rnacentral:lncRNA from 1 species
GAAGAGUCUCGGUUAAGGACAGAGAUCAUGGACUCUGACGUUUAUGGAACCACCAAACAAGAAAACUCCUCUGCACCGGAGGAGAUUAACAACAGACAAGAGCCGGAUGAUCUUUUCAUGGUUCUUGGACGUGAACAAGAUGUUACACCUGCGAUGGUGUCGUGGACCCCUGAGAUUGACUUCGAGGCUAACGCUUUGGCUGAAGAGAAACGCAAAAACGAUUUGGAAACUGCUGCAAAGGCCUCUGAACAGACUUCAGAUGUUAAAGAAAAGAAACUUCGUGUCGUUAGAAAGGAUGCAAAGACAAGAGCAGCAAGUAGACCUGACCCUGCUUUGAAAGCUAAGAGAGCUCCCUGGGGAAGUAGAGCAGCUGCCACCAAAACCAAAUCCGAGCUGGUAAAUUUCGCUUAACUAACAGCGUUUCAUUUUUCUUGAUUAGUUUCACUCUGGUUCUAUAAAUUGGUACGAAACAAUUUUCUUAAAAUUUAAUUAAUACUAAUCAAAUCGGUUUAAACCAUUUUAAUCGGUUUAAACCAUUUUAAAUCAUUCUAAAUUGGUUUAAACUAUUUUAAAUUGGUUUUAGUAGAACUAAAUUAGUCUAAAUAUGUUAAAUUAAACAAUAAUGUUAGUAUAAAUCCACAAUUUUGUCUUUUUUGUUUUGUUUUGUAUAUAUACUUAUGAUAAUUCAUCAAAAUAAUUUUAUAAUAAAACCAAAAACUAAAAUAUCGUAUAUAAAUGUGAAAUAUAUAUAAAAUAAAUUAAUAAUUCAUCAACGCCUAGAGUUCUGAAUUAAUAAAAUGCUUCUAGUUACAGCCUAACGAUUAACAUUGGUUUCACUUUUUCUCACUUGGAUUUGGUAUUUUGAUAGGAGGAAGAGAGGAAGAAGAGAAUGGAAGAACUUUUAAUUCAGAGGCAAAAGAGAAUCGCUGCGAAGAGUUCUGGCAGUAAUGUAUCAAGUCCCUUGGCCUCCAAGAAAACUCCUACUGGAACCAAAACCGUGAAGACCUCGAAUGACAAGACACCAGCAGAAGCCGUGAAGGCUAAGCCGUUACUGAGAAGUUCCACCAUUGAGCGCCUUGCUGUUGCCAGGACAGCACCAAAGGAGCCACAACAAAAACCAGUAACCAAAAGAACAUCAAAACCUCUAGGAAACAAGACAGAGAAACCUCAAGACAAGAAACCUAGUAGAAAAAGUCCGGGACUUUCUCGUGACCCGAGUCUCGAAAUCAAGGAAACAGUGGAGGAAGAAUCACAGUCUUACUUGCCGGUGAAGCAAGUUGAUGAACUUCCUCCUGCUGCUUCUUCUGUUGAUGACUUCAAAGACAUUAAAGAGAUGCAUAGCUUGCCGAAUGAAACAAUCACCAAUCAUCAGAAAGUAGAAGAUCAGAGGAAGAUUGAUGAUGAGGAGAUAGUGAAGAAGACAUCCGUCUGCGAAGACAAGCAAGUCACUAACAACCUUUGUUCGGAGGAUGUUGAAGAAGUUAAGGCUUCACCGCCAAAACCACUGUCUCCAAAGAAGUCGGUGACGUUUUCAGAGACAAACAUGGAGGAGAAGUAUUUCUUCUCACCAACGGUGUCGGAGACUGACGUCUCGACGCCGCCGGCUACUGAAGGCUCUGAGUUCUUGAUUAAUGUUUCAGUUGGUUAUUGACUCUGUUUGUAUUUGUAUAGGCACAAGGUGAAUCUGAUGGCCAAGAAAAUUCUAAGUAAGUUUUAGCAUAGCCUUCCUUUGUUGUUAUUGUCUUGAUCGGUUUUGUGAAGUAGAUGACAAGCGGUGAAAUGAAUGUAACAGGGUUGGUCUUCAGCGUGUUCUUGAAACCCGCAAAGCGGCUUUGUGCAAAGAGCAAGCCAUGGCUUACGCUAGAGCUUUGGUUGUUGGGUUUGAAUUGGACUACAUGGACGAUCUCUUGUCCUUCGCAGAUGCUUUUGGAGCUUCGCGUUUAAGGUUAGUAACUGAAACCAUCCAUGUCCUUGUGUGCAUUUGUAUGAAGAUGGUGAAUAAAUCACUUUUGUGUUGCGUUCAGGGAAGCAUGUGUUAACUUUGUGGACUUGUGCAAGAGAAAGAACGAAGAUAGGAUGUGGGUGGACCAAAUCACGGCAAUGCAAGCCUUUCCCAGGCCUGAGCUAUCCUUCAUGGGUGACUCUGGGAUCAUACUCGCUGGGGAAGAGAAUGAUAUCGUCAAACAAGGGAACAACAUGGAUGCAAUGAGCCAGGGUAGCUUUGAGACUAGCCAAGGUCCUCCUCAGAUGUCAAUCCCCUGGCCAAACCAUUAUCCUCCUCAGUACAUGCAAGGACAUGGCUAUCCUCCUUAUAUGUAUCCCGGCCAGCCACAGUACUUCCCUCAGUGGCCUGUCAACAUGGGAGGAGAUGUGGAGUCAAGUGAGAAGACUUCCAAGAAGAAAAAGAAGAAGAAGAAAAACAAGAAGAAGAAGUAUGAAUCUUCCGAGGAGCAAAGCGAUGAGUCCAGCGCCGAGACUGUAUCAGAGGAGGGGAAUGAAGGGAAGAAAUCAUCUAGAAAAGUUGUUAUACGCAACAUAAACUACAUAACUUCAAAGAGAAACGGAGCCAAGGAUAGCGAUUCUGAUGAGUCUGUAGACGAAGAAGAAGAAGGCUUUGUGGAUGGAGACUCCAUCAAGCAGCAAGUGGAGGAAGCUAUUGGCUCGCUGGAGAAACGGCAUAAAUCGACUUCACGCCGUAGCAGGAGGAAGCACAAAAGUCAUAGUGAAGAUGAGGAGGACUCAGGUAGUAAAGAAACUAAAGGGAAUGAUAACUGGGAUGCCUUCCAAAACCUUCUUUUAAAAGACAAAGAUUCAGACCAGGAAACAGCUUCGUGUCCGUUGAACAUGGAGUCAGAAGUUGUGAGCAAGAGAGAGCUGCCUUCGGAUGAUUCUUUCUUGGUUGCAAAUGGGAAUGAGGAUUGGGGGAGGGAGAGCAGUAUUAAGAAACUUGAUGCCGGUGAGAAUGUUAGGCUGAUGAGAAGAGAGAACAACUAUGACGAUGAUAUGAUGAUGAAUCCUGGUAGAGGAGAUGAAUCAAGAAGCUACUCACAGGCAGAGAUGUCUGUUUAUAGUGGGAAGCUCCGAGCUAGAAAUGAGACGGAGGAAGACUGGUUCAUACGUAACCAAGCAGACACUGAAAGAGAUGUCAAAACCUUUGUAGGAGACGAUUUGCAUGUAACAAAGAGAAGUGGGAGAGAUGUCCUGACUGAUGACUCGUUCAUGAUCCAUUCUCGUGUUGAGAGCCAAGUGGAAGAGUCUCGGUUAAGGACAGAGAUCAUGGACUCUGACGUUUAUGGAACCACCAAACAAGAAAACUCCUCUGCACCGGAGGAGAUUAACAACAGACAAGAGCCGGAUGAUCUUUUCAUGGUUCUUGGACGUGAACAAGAUGUUACACCUGCGAUGGUGUCGUGGACCCCUGAGAUUGACUUCGAGGCUAACGCUUUGGCUGAAGAGAAACGCAAAAACGAUUUGGAAACUGCUGCAAAGGCCUCUGAACAGACUUCAGAUGUUAAAGAAAAGAAACUUCGUGUCGUUAGAAAGGAUGCAAAGACAAGAGCAGCAAGUAGACCUGACCCUGCUUUGAAAGCUAAGAGAGCUCCCUGGGGAAGUAGAGCAGCUGCCACCAAAACCAAAUCCGAGCUGGUAAAUUUCGCUUAACUAACAGCGUUUCAUUUUUCUUGAUUAGUUUCACUCUGGUUCUAUAAAUUGGUACGAAACAAUUUUCUUAAAAUUUAAUUAAUACUAAUCAAAUC